rnacentral:rRNA from 1 species
AUGCCGCGUGUGUGAAGAAGGCCUGAGGGUUGUAAAGCACUUUCAGUGGGGAGGAGGAUAGCAUGGUUAAGAGCUGAGCUAUUGGACGUUACCUACCGAAGAAGCCCCGGCUAACUUCGUUCCAGCAGCCGCGGUAAUUCGGAGGGUGCGAGCGUUAAUUGGAAUUACUGGGCGUAAAGGGUGCGUAGGUGGUUAAAUAAGUUAGAUGUAAAAACCCUGGGCUUAACCUAGGACUGAGCUUUAAUACUGUUUAACUAGAGUAUGGGAGAGGGUAGUGGAAUUUCCGGUGUAGCGGUGAAAUGCGUAGAGAUUGGAAGGAACAUCCACGUGGCGAAGGCGGCUACCUGGCCUAAUACUGACACUGUAGGCAUCGAAAAGCGUGGGGAGCCAACACGGGUUAGAUAUCCCUGGUAGUGUCCCGCUGUAAAACGAUGUCUAGUAUACCUUG